rnacentral:rRNA from 1 species
UACGUAGGUGGCAAGCGUUGUCCGGAUUUAUUGGGUUUAAAGGGUGCGUAGGCGGCCAACUAAGUCAGACGUGAAAUCCCUCAGCUUAACUGGGGAACUGCGUCUGAUACUGGAUGGCUUGGAUUCGGGAGAGGAAUGCGGAAUUCCAGGUGUAGCGGUGAAAUGCGUAGAUAUCUGGAGGAACACCGGUGGCGAAGGCGGCAUUCUGGACCGACAUUGACGCUGAGGAGCGAAAGCCAGGGGAGCAAACGGG